AAGAAGAAGAAAAAAAAAAGCCACAGCGAAACGACUGCUGGGGAAUGCUGCACAGCACAAAGGCUGAGCCAAUCCUUCGCUUAGUGCUACCAGGCCUAACAGAUGUGUUGAGUGCACAGAUCUGGGUUGCAGCAAGCAUUAAUUUGUCCUACUGACUUCCUGUGAGGGUUCGGUGUCUGCAGCGGGGCGUGAUGCUGCACCACGCGUACAGAAGCAGAAAGCUACACCAGAGCUACAACUUGGCUCUUCUGGCAAUGCAUAGCCAGACCUCUUCAGGAUCAGAGCUGGACAAGGAAGCGAUCAAAAGCAGCAAACAAACCUAAAUACAUCUGUCAGCCCCCAUAUACAGCCAAUUCUCAGGGCUAGCUGUGGAUAGAGGAAGAAAUGUGCCACUUUACAAAUACUGCCAGCAAGAGCCUUGGAAUUAUCUUCUACAAGGACAAAAACAUGAGAGGUAGGACCAUAGUCAAAGAGCUGCACUUAGGCUGAGAUGAAAACUGUUUCAGUAGCUGAGCUGAAGAAAUGAUGCUCACUUUCACCUUUGCCGCAUCACUGCACUGUUCACUACCGGGAAAUGGAGGUGGCAUUCAGACCAGCCGCUCUGCUGGAAGAUGUUGCUGUGGGGUCAUUACUGGCAGUGAGUUGGCACUUAGUGAUGGUGAACUCUGUACUAACUUCUGCCACAGAGAAUCAGAGACAUUUGGCAGAAUCACCAAGGUUGGAAAAGACCUCCAAGAUCCUCUAGUCCAACUAUCCACCUACAACUGCUGGGUGAGAACAGGCAAUAAUUUGAAUUGUAUGAGGUUAACUGCUAGACAAUAAUACAUGUAAUCAUUACUAUGGUUGUUAUAUGCCUUGUCAAUGGUAUUACAGUAAGAAUCACCCAGACUAAAGAAGAAAGAGUUCUGAUGGAAGCAGAACUAACUUCAGCAAGCAGUAAUCCAACACCAUGCAUCACCCCUUUCACACUGAAGGACUGUUAUAACAAGAUGGUGUCGAAAGUCAUAGACUAAAUUAACUCCAUGUACAAUUUACUGGGAUGGCCUCCCACUGGGAGGGGGAAGGGAAGUAAGCAAAAGGCUGCUUGGUGUUAAGCUGCUUGCUGGGUUAAACCACAACAGCACAUUGGAAGAAACAUACUAUCACAUGCAGUUAGCUGAACUUACCCAGAGCUGGAAUGAGACAGGAAAAAAAAACCAUCAUUAUGGUGGUGUACGCAUCUGAGGCCAGUAACACCAAGCCAGACUAGGAGUCCCAACACUGAGGAAGCCCUUCGUGUUGAUACCUCCAGCCACAGGAAAAGGCAGUGCCUGCUUAAGUCCAGAAAGUAAAACAUUUCUGCAUUAUGGGAAGGUUUGCCCAUAGGAAAACCGAUUUGAACUCCAGAUGACAGAACUGCCUGUUCAGUAAGUCAGGAUCAAGGGCAAUGCUGUUAUCCUUCAUGUCCACUGUGACCCUCACAUUAGGACCUCCAGUCUCAGGGCAGGAUGAAGAAUAAAACUGAAUGCUAAUACUCUAAAAUGAAGUGAAAAAUCAUUUAAAAAUUCAACAUUUUCUUUUUCCUUGCCCUGCUAGCCUUCCCC
ensembl:lncRNA